GGAUUGGAUCUUGGGUCUAGGUUACCAUAAAAACAUGUGCUAUAGCUCACUUGUGGCAAAAAUGUCGUAACGGCCUCUCCGAUCUAAAAUGUAGGUGGCAGGUCGGAUGAGGCCAUAAUCAGCCUUAGCAGUCUCAGUGGCCAAAUCAUGGGUGGCGGACGGGAGGCAUGAAAUCGUCGUUUGACGAUGAAAACAUGUGUCACGGGAGGCCAAAAAUAGCCUUACCGGCCUCCGGGGACCAAAACGUGUACUAUGGUUUGGACACUAAAAUUCUACUAUGUCAGCAAAGUUGAUAAGGUUGGGAGACUCAAAUUUCAUUUUACCAUGGUUUCAACACUAAAAUCCUAUAGUGUCGAUGUUUAGGUUUAGGGAUAGGAUUUAGGGUCUAGGUUUCCAUAAAAUCGUGUGCUAUAGCUCACGGGUGGCAAAAAAAUGCCAUAACGGCCUCCCCGGUCUAAAACGAAGGUGGCAGGUCGGAUACAUAAAAUUGGCUGUUUGGCCACGGAAAUGUGUGAUAUAGCUCGCGGGAGGCCAAGAACCGCUUUAAGGUGCUCCGGGGAGAAAAACACGUGUGGAGGAACACGGGCAUAAACACUACUACAAAUCAUGUUAUAUGAGACGGUUAAUUUUCAGUUAUUAAGACGUUUAUGAAGUGUCCAAAUUUGACGGAGUCGCAAAAGAUGUCCCACAUUUAAGAUGGUUAUAAACCGUCUUAAAAGAUAUUAUAUAAGACAGUUUUUAAUUUAUAACCGUCUGAAAAAGGUAUUUGUUUAAGUCAUUUUGUCCGAUAAACCGUUUGAAAAAGGUAUUUGUUUAAGUCAUUUUGUCCGAUAAACUGUCUUGAAUUAGGUUUUUAUUUAAGACACUGCUUCUAAAGAACCGUAGAGAAUACAAACAUUAUAAGUCAUAAAGUAUUUAUCAAACUGUCUCGAAUAUCCUACAAUAAUAGACGAUUACAAUAGGAAAACCAUCUUAUUUAGGUGACUAAUAAUAGACGUUUUAGAAACCGUCUUAUUUAUGAGACUAGUAUUAGACAUUUUGGUGACCGUCUUAUUAAGAUUUAAACGAAAUGACUUACACGGCAGUACAUUCUUCAAUUUAUAAUCAUUUUUCAAAUAUCACGUUAUAAUAAUUUAAAAGAGAAAUAUACAUACACAUAUAUUGAACAACAUUAUAAUUAAUAUAAUAUAAAUAAGUACCAUUCAAUAUAUCAUAAAUAAGCAUUAUCAAACAACACAUACAUAAGUGUACUCUAAAUCUAAACUAAAAUACAACUGUUUGCACUAAUGUUAAGCCUAACUUUAUAUGUGUUGGGCACUUGUUCUCAAAUGCUAAGAAUUAAGAACAAGGCAACACAAAAAAUGUUAAGUGUUAAGGUCCUUCGUCCUCCAUAACGAUAUAUCCCUUCGGGAUAUAAAGCAUUUCGGACGAAGGUUACGAAGGACAUACCUUCGUAAGCAUAACAACGAAGAAUGAAGCGUUCACAUAAAUCAUAGAAUAUGAAGUAAAUAUUUAAAUAUCGUCAUAGAAUUAUCUCUACUUGUAUUAAUGAAUAUAAAUGACUUUGAAUUACAAAUGUACCUUCGGUCCUGCGGAAGGCAAAAGUACAAGCGUGAUGUGAAAGCAAAUGACAGGUUCACGUGAACAGUACAGAGGUACUGUUCAUCUAUUUAUAGGCACAGGUCGCAGCCUGUGACAAAUUACAAUUAUGCCCCUUGCGAAAGUUUACAGCAUUGACUCAGACCUAUAUGUAUAAAAAGGUCAUUCUAUCUCUAUGUCGGUUUAAAACGCCGAAGCUCCAUGAAAAGGGACCUUCGGCCAUCUCUUGGAGACGACUUCAGCCGAAGCUGCUUCUUCGUGUGAGACCUUCGGCGCACCGAAGCACGACCCCAACAGUAGCCCCUUUCGCGGUGCUAGAUCGUUCUUCGUAACGAGCUUGACCCGUGAAAAAAAGCCUCUUCAGCUUCGGGAAGCCGAAGGUCCAAAAAACACCUUCCCUGAGCUCGUUGCGGAGAAACGAUCCGACUUCCGAGCGCGUGUCGGUCCCACCUUGCAGAGUUACUGUUUGAUCCUUGCGGUCCACUGCGCAGCGGGUACAAGUUACUGCGCGCCUGGUGUAACAAUUCCGCCGCUUCGCCUUCUUACCUGCAGCACUAUAUAAACUGACAAGUAGUUGUGAAGUUACCACAGCAUUCAUUGCUAUUUGCACUGUUUUGCUGCCGAAAUUUUCCAGCAUAGCCGAAGCUUAAGUCCCAAAAUCGAACGAAGGUGCUUCUCAACGUCCGCUUCGUCAGAAAGAAGAGCUUCGGAGAAAAGAAAAAAGUAAAAAGUUUUUGACUUCCCAAACUUAGAAUCAAAUGGCGAGAAUACGAUCUACUGCCAAAGUUGUACGUGAGGGAGACGAAGCCGAAGGUUCAGACACUGUGCCCAUCUCCGAAGCAAUGCAGCGUUCCGGUCUACUGACUACAGAAGAAAUGCCUGCUGCUGAAGCAGGCCCAACAACUGCCGAAGGAAAAGAAAACAUUGAAGGGACUGACUCCGAAGAUGACUAUGACCUUGCUAUGCCCAGCAAGCCCAGUCACCUGGAUUUUGGGAAAUCAACUGUUUCAAAAGCUGACCUUUCGAAGAUGGUGAAAGCAGGUUAUUUCAAUGAGGACCAGAAGAAGCUACUCCGCUUCGGGAAGAAGAAACCACCCCGAAGCCAAGGAAGGAUGAGAUUGUUAUUUUCAAGAGUUUUUUAAAAGCCGGGCUUAGAUUCCCUCUCCACGGUAUUGUUGCGGAGAUACUAAGGAGGUUUGGUAUCUAUUUUCAUCAAUUGACUCCUAACGCCAUCGUUAGGCUCAAUGUUUAUAUCUGGGCCCUCCGAAGCCAAGCUGUGGAACCAUUUGCUGACAGCUUCUGCCGAGCUCACGAAUUACAUUACCAAACAAAGGCCAGAAAAGAUGGGCUACAUGAUAAUUUCGGUUGCUAUAAUUUUGCCUACCGGAAGACAACAAAGUGUCCUGUCAUCAGCUACCGAAGCAAAUGGCCAGCAGGUUGGAAAUCUGAGUGGUUUUAUGUAAAAGUUGACGAAGACAAAGAAAAACUGGUACAAAGCCCUUUGGAGUUAAUCUUCGGAGAGACAAGGCCACGAUGCCACAUUGGCGACCUAAAAGGUCCCACCUGGGCUGCUCUGGGUGAAUUUGAAGUUAUCUCAGAACAUAUUGGCACCAGGGAUCUAGUUCAAGAGUUCUUGGCAUUCAGAGUUUUCCCUACUCUAAAAGAGUGGGAGAUGCCGAAGCUGGAGGGAGAGAAGAAGAAGGGUGAACUCGUCCGGCUUCCCUAUCACUUCAAGUUUAAAAAGUACUUCAAAAAACCCUGCAAAGAGUGGUUAGAAUCAAUUGAGGUGAUGUGCAAUGAGAUCCUGGGGAAUUACUCCAAAAAAGAGGAUCAAUUAAUGACAGCAGCUUUCGGUGCCCGACCGAAACGAAGACUGAACCGAGUAUUUGAUGCCCUGGGCUUCGAGUAUUCAGACUACGAGCAGUUGAACAAGGGUGCCGAGGGCCAUAAAAGAAAAAGAGUAGCCGAAACCGAAACUCUGAUCAGAGAUGAAGAAGGACCAGCAAAGAAAAAGAAAAUUAUCAAGAAAAGAACAAUAUCCACUCCGAAGCGCAAAUCACCCGAAGAAGAGGGGUCCCCCACACCGCCUUCUACCAGCGACGUGGAUGAAAUUUUAAAGGUAAUGACUGAACCCAUGCCCACGAAGCUAAGUCCACUAGGGCUCCAACUGACGAAGCUUUUUCGAAAGGUGGACGAGCCGGAUCAGACGAAGACAAGCAAACCCAAGCGGCAAAGAAUCAUUGCGGUAACUGAAGUUAUCGAUAAGACGCCGCCAAGGGCGUCAAUCCAAAAAACGGUAGCUGCCGAAGGUACAGCAAUCGUCGAAGGCGUAGCUUCGGGGGUCGCGGCUACCGAAGCCGCUACAGCCGAAGAUACAAACUUAAAAGCCACGAUUGAGAAUAUCAACAAGAUUUUGGAAGACAUGGCUGCGGAAGAAGCUGGUGCUACUACUGAAAAAACCAUGGCCACAGUGCCUGAGAAAGGAAAAGAAAUAGCCGAAGACCCUUCGGACGACGAAGCCUACUCUUUCCAGAACUUAGUUGGGCAAAAACUGACGAAGGACGAAAUAGAAGAACUUAAAGACUACGCCAAGUCUUGCGGCUACAAGUCAGGUGCCCUCCUAUUUGGGGGUGUAGAUGAUGAAAAACUAGGCUGUAUUCGAGACCAGACUGGAGCUAAGGUAAUCGGUACUCUAUCGAAGAGUAUCGGUAUUCCGAAGCUAGAGACAGACAUCAGCCGCUACCGACGACAACACAUCGUCGGCAGCUUGUUUUAUUCUAACUUCAAGGUAAACAACCUUUUUCUCUGGUUUUUAUUGCCGUUAACAAUGAAAAUAUUAUUUAACAUAAGUUGCUUCUGUUCAGAGCAUGCUACUGAGCAAAGCUCUGAAGAUGCAACAAGACUUGGAGGACAAAAAGCACGAAGCUAUAAUUGAAAACUUGGAAAGCAAAAUAAAAGAGCAAUCUGCCAUCAUUGAAAAGAAAGACUUCGAGCUCCAAUCGACCGAAGGCUUGCUGGCUGAAACUGAGGCUAAAAUAUUAGAGUUAAAUUCGAAGCUUAUCAAUCAAUCAAAACAAUUUGAUCAGGAGAAGCUAGAACUGAAUUCGAAGCUUAAAGCCGAAGUCCAGACCAGCUCAGAAUUGAAGAAAGCAUUAACAAGCCUUCAAGACAAAUGCUUGAACUUUGGCAAUAAUUGUAUUGGACGAUUAAAGAAGAUAUUUUACUCUGUUGGAGCCAGCAGUGGGAAAUUUAACCCUUCGGCGGAAAAUUUACCCCAGGCCUUCGAUCAUAUUGAAGCUGAAAUCGAAGAGCUUGACGAAGUUAUAGCCGGGCACGGCGACUUCUGUGCCUGGGUAGCUUCUCGGGGUACCGCUGCUGCAUUUCUGAAGGCCGGCUGCGAACAUGGAAAGGUUGUCAACAGGCCCAACUUCACCUUAUCUUCAUCAAUCCUGGAUGAUAUGCCCGACCUCGCCCGAAGUAUCUCCAAUAGAUUUAUAAAAAUGGUAUGGACAAAGGGCGGGCGAGAGAAAGCUGGAGACGAAGCCCGAAGUCAUCUUAAACCAGUAAGAAAUGACAUUUCGUGCUUACCUUUUCCUUUGGGCUUGAUUCUUAUGAUUCCUUGACUCAUGUAGGAUGACGAAGGUGAAGAUGAUGCCUAGGAUAUGUCGCCGAAGUUGUCGUCGAAGCUGAAGCUUAAUGAAGACUAGCAGAAGUGUGCUUUAGAAAAACUCAGGAUAAUUUUGUAACAACUCUUGUAAAUAGAAUUAAACUGUUCUUCAAGGAACUUUGUACAUACCUUGUAAUAUAUUCUUACCUUUCGGUUGAGGUGCUUUGAUGUGGACGAAAUCAGUUUUUUGAGCCGAAGGCGAAAAAACACCUUCCCUUCUUUUCGUACACAACGAAGCAUAAAAGGCCGCUUCCUCUUUUUGCCGAAGCCUUUCCUUACAUAACAAAACAUAAAAGACUGCUACUCUUAUCUGCCGAAGCUUUUAUUUACAUGACAAAACAUAAAAGACUGCUACUCUUAUCUGCCGAAGCUUUUAUUUACAUGACAAAACAUAAAAGACUGCUACUCUUAUCUGCCGAAGCUUUUCCUUACAUAACAAAACAUAAAAGACUGCUACUCUUAUACACAACGAUUCAUAAAAAACCACCUCUUCGAAACUUUUCUUUUACAUAACAAAUCAUAACAAACCAUUUAUCCGAAACUUUUCUCUGUGCCGAAGCAACCAUUUAGGAACACAAAUGCUAUGAAUGAAUGCUUAUGCAUGCAAAUGCCAUGAUGUAAUGUGCAAAUGAAUGUCCGAAGCGUAUAUCCGAAGCCACACUCAUCCAUCAUUUUCUUAGGAGCAAACACACGUCAGCUCUGCAUUCCCUUAGGAACGACUUUGGAGCAUAUUUGCCUUUUACUUAGGCAGUAUCAGCGUUGACUUUUCGCUGUAAGCUCUGCAUCCCCCUAGGGACGUCUUUGGAGCUUCUUCGUCUUUUACUUAGACGGUAUAAGCUCUGCAUUCCCUUAGGAACGACUUUGGAGCUUCUUCGCCUUUUACUUUCGGCGGAAUCAGCGUUGACUUUUCGCUGUGAGCUCUGCAUCCCCUUAGGGACGUCUUUGGAGCUUCUUCUCUUUUUUAGUUUCGGCACUCGAUGGUGCGCUCUCAGCUUUUACAUUUACAUUCUUUUGGGGGAUUUUGCUCUUAUAAAACUAAAAAGGAAAUUACAUAUGAUGGCCCCAUUAAAAACCUUUCUCCCCCUUUAGAAAGGAAAAGGGUGCCAUGAAAAAGAAAAGAAAAGUCAAAAUUACAUCGAGUUAUACAUAAAACCGCCGAAGCUCAUCCGCAUUCCAAGAUCUUGGAAUUUCAUUGCCAUCCAUGUCCUUCAGUCUGUACGAACCAGGCCUUGACGAAGAUGCUACUAAGAAAGGCCCUUCCCAUUUCAGUUGCAAUUUGCCCACUGUAUCCGGAUUGGCCACUCUCCGAAGCACCAAGUGUCCUGGCUCAAUAUUUUUUAGCCGGACCUUUCUAUCUCGCCAUUUAACUGUUUCAGCCUGGUACUUAUUGAUAUUCUCCACAGCCUGAAGCCUGAUUCCUUCUAAGGCAUCUUUUUCCACGAGACAAGUAUCUUCGGGACCUGAUUCUGCCGAAGCUACCACUCUUAUUGAUCCAGCUUUGGCUUCUUCCGGGGUUAUUGCUUCGUCACCAAAUAACAACUUAAAUGGGGUAAAGCCUGUAGAUCUUGAUGUUGUUGUGUUAUGGCUCCAUACCACUUUGGUAAGCUGAUCUGGCCACUUUCCCCUUGGUUGAUUAAAGAUUAGCUUCAUUAUUCCUGUCAUUAUGAUGCCGUUGGCCCUUUCAACAAGCCCAUUCGACUCCGGGUGCCUGACUGACGCAAAGUGGAUCUUCGUGCCAAUUUGAUCACAAAAAUUUCUGAAUUCUUCGGAGUCAAAUUGUGUUCCAUUAUCUACAGUUAUAGCCUUCGGCACUACGAAGCGACAGACAAUAUUUUGCCAGAAAAAUUUUUGGACAGUGGCCGAAGUUAUUGUAGCUAAUGGCUUCGCCUCAAUCCACUUGGAAAAAUAUUCCACAGCAACUACAACAUAUUUCAGAUUGCCUUGAGCCGGUGGUAAUGGGCCCAGCAAAUCGAGGCCCCACCUUUGCAAUGGCCAGAUGGGUUGUAUUAGCUGUGUCAAAGACGAAGGUUGUUUUUGAUCUCUUGCACAUUUCUGACAACCUUCGCACUUUUGAACUAACUCAGCUGCAUCCGAAGCUGCCUUCGGCCAAUAAAAUCCUUGACGGAACACUUUUCCAAGUAACGGCCUGGAUCCGAUGUGGGAUCCACAAAGGCCUGCAUGUAUCUCCUUCAUCAACUCUAUACCUUCGGCUCUAGACAAGCACUUGAGCAGCGGGGCACAAACUCCAUGCUUGUAUAACUCCCCUUCUAUAAUGAUAUACGGACGAGCUCUUGCCUCUAUUCUUUUAUUAUAAGCUUCGUCAUCUGAUAGGAAGUUGCCCUGAAGGUAAGAAAUUAUUUCAGUUCUCCAAUCUUCACUGUACACAGGAGAAAUAGUAAGAACUGCUCUUUCAAGUAACUCUACUGAAGGUGCCUUUAUUGUUUCGAAGAAUACAUCCGAAGGUAGCGGCAGCCCCUGUGCUGCAGACCUGGCUAACAAAUCAGCAUGUUCAUUUUGCCCUCGAGGGAUAUUCUUAACAGAAAAUCCUUCGAAGGAAGCUUCGAUCCUUCGGACUGUGUCUAGGUAUUUUUCAAGCUUCGGGUCUUUAGCCUUGCAACUUUUGUCAAUAUGACCCGAAACAAUCUGAGAAUCAGUUUUAAGGAUCGCCCUCCUGAUCCCCAUCGCCUUUAGUUUCCGAAGACCCAGGAGCAAGGCUUCGUACUCAGCAAUAUUAUUUGUGCAGCUGAAGUCCAGUCUUGCUGCAUAGCAAGUUUUAACCUUGGACGGUGAAACCAAAACAGCAGCUGCUCCUGCUCCGAAGGUUCCCCAGGAGCCAUCACAAAACACUGUCCAAGCUUCGGCAUCUUUAUUCGCUUCUUCGCCCUGAGCCCCUGGCGUCCAGUCGGCAAUAAAAUCUGCCAAUGCUUGAGACUGGAUCGAGGAUCUGUGCACAUAAUCAAUGUAAAAUUCAUUAAGCUCCGCAGCCCAUUUUCCAAUUCGGCCAGUAGCUUCUUUAUUUCUCAUGAUAUCUUUCAACGGCUGCGAAGAAGGAACAAUAAUAUUAUAUGCCUGAAAAUAAUGCCGAAGCUUCCUGGAUGCCAUUAGAACGGCAUACAACACCUUCUCCAGUUCUGUAUAAUUUUUCUUUGAGACACUAAGGACCUCAGAUACAAAAUAUAUUGGGGCCUGCUUCUUGAUUUGUCCAUCAAACUUCUCCUGCACAAGUGCCGCACUUACUGCUGAGUGCGAAGCUGCCACAUACAACAACAGAGGAGCCCCUGGCAUUGGUGGAGUUAAUGUUGUUAGAUCUAUCAGGUAUUGCUUGAGUUCUUCGAAAGCUUUUUGUUGAGCUGGGCCCCAUUGAAAGACUUCAGCUGAUUUUAGCACCUCGAAGAAGGGUAGAUUUCUUUCCGCUGAUCUGGAUAUAAAUCUGUUAAGAGAUGCCAGUCUUCCUGUCAAUCUUUGGGCCCCCUUUCUUGUGGUUGGUGGCUCCAUUCGAAGUAUAGCUUCGAUUUUAUUUGGGUUAGCUUCAAUUCCCUUUGUUGAAACCAAGCAUCCAAGGAACUUACCCUUCUUUACUCCGAAGACACAUUUUUCUGGAUUCAGCUUCAGACCAGCUUGUCUGAAACUGGCGAAGGUCUCCUGCAGAUCAGCAAUAUGGUCUUCUUGCUUCGUGCUUUUUACAAUAAUGUCAUCAACAUAGGUCAACACAUUUCUGCCUAUCUGAGAUUGGAGAACCUUCGCAGUCAUCCUGCUGAAACUCCCUCCAGCAUUCUUAAGCCCCUCAGGCAUCCGAAGAUAGCAAUAUGUACCACUUGGGGUUAUGAAACUAGUCUUCGACUCAUCCUCCUUUUUCAUCCAGAUUUGAUGAUAGCCUGAGUAACAAUCCAGGAGACUCAUGAGUUCCGAAGAAGCUGCUGCAUCAACUAAAGAGUCUAUCCUUGGCAGCGGGAACUCAUCCUUCGGACAAGCCUUGUUGAGAUCUGUGAAAUCAAUACACAUUCUCCACUUUCCAUUGGCCUUCUUCACCAUAACAGUGUUAGCUAGCCAUUCUGGAUACUUCACUUCUCUGAUAACUCCUGCACUUAGGAGUCUUUUUACUUCGUUGCGAGCCCCUUCGGCCUUGUCAUCAGACAUUUUCCGAAGCCUCUGCUUGCGGGGUCUGAAGGAUGGGUCAACAUUGAGCGAAUGUUCAAUAACAUCCCGAUUCACUCCACAAAGAUCAUUGGCUGACCAUGCAAAAACAUCUUUAUUGUUGAAUAAAAACCUUAUCAAGGUUUUCUCUUGAUCUUCAGAUAAUUGCGAGCCCAAUAGCACCUUCUGCUCUGCUAUAUCCUCACACAGCAGCAUGGGCUUCGGCUGAUCAGCCGAAGCUGCUUUUUCCCUCCUGAACCUGUACUGUUCACAAGCUUCAACUCCAUCUAUAUUAUGGAUUGCCUUGGAAUCAGUCCAGCUUCCUUCGGCCCUUCUGGCAGCUUCCUGACUCCCAUGAAUAGCAAUAGGCCCUUGGUCCGAAGGUAUCUUCAUGCAGAGAUAAGCUGGGUGAAGAAUUGCUUCAAAAGCAUUUAGGGUACCACGACCAAUGAUGGCGUUGUAGGGGUAUUCCAUGUCAACAAUAUCAAACACAAUUUGCUCAGUCCUUGUGUUAUUAACAAAUCCGAAGGUUACCGGCAUGGUAAUCUUCCCGAGUGCCACAAUCUGCCGCCCUCCGAAGCCACAAAGAGGGUGCGUAGCAUCAUGAAUCUUGUCUUCAGGCUCUUGCAUCUGUCUGAAGGCUUUGGCAAAUAUAAUGUCAGCUGCACUGCCUGUGUCAACUAGGACAUUGUGAACCAGAAACCCUUUGAUCACACAAGAAAUGACCAUAGCAUCAUUGUGAGGAUAGUCCUUGAGCUGAAGAUCUUCCUGAGAGAAGGUAAUUGGAAUGUGAGACCAUUUUGACUUAAUGAAGGGUCCCUGCACUCCAACAUGCUGCACCCUUCUCUGAGCCUCCUUCUUCUGCUUUUUGUUAGCUGGCUCUGAGCAAGAACCGCCUGUUAUCGGGAGCACCAGCUUCGAAGCCGAAGCAGCUCCAGCUUGAGUGUUGAACGAAGCCAUCAGCUCAGAAAGGUGGAAGUGAGUUGACCGGAGGUGGGCGCCAAUGUUGGGCACUUGUUCUCAAAUGCUAAGAAUUAAGAACAAGGCAACACAAAAAAUGUUAAGUGUUAAGGUCCUUCGUCCUCCAUAACGAUAUAUCCCUUCGGGAUAUAAAGCAUUUCGGACGAAGGUUACGAAGGACAUACCUUCGUAAGCAUAACAACGAAGAAUGAAGCGUUCACAUAAAUCAUAGAAUAUGAAGUAAAUAUUUAAAUAUCGUCAUAGAAUUAUCUCUACUUGUAUUAAUGAAUAUAAAUGACUUUGAAUUACAAAUGUACCUUCGGUCCUGCGGAAGGCAAAAGUACAAGCGUGAUGUGAAAGCAAAUGACAGGUUCACGUGAACAGUACAGAGGUACUGUUCAUCUAUUUAUAGGCACAGGUCGCAGCCUGUGACAAAUUACAAUUAUGCCCCUUGCGAAAGUUUACAGCAUUGACUCAGACCUAUAUGUAUAAAAAGGUCAUUCUAUCUCUAUGUCGGUUUAAAACGCCGAAGCUCCAUGAAAAGGGACCUUCGGCCAUCUCUUGGAGACGACUUCAGCCGAAGCUGCUUCUUCGUGUGAGACCUUCGGCGCACCGAAGCACGACCCCAACAAUAUGAAUUCAAGUCUCCACAUUUUGCGGCCACCAAAUUUGAAUUCCAUUCUAUGUUUUCGUGUACAAUAAAUAGGAGAAAACUAGACAUAGCAAAAAGCUCCAAGCAGGACGUGGAUGGUCUCGAAGCUGCCCUUGUGCUUCUCCCUGUUCUUGAUCACUCCUACACGCCCGGUGUUCGUCCCGCCGGUCAUCAUGACCACGUUGCCGACGUCAAACUUGAUGAAGUCCAUGAUCUUGUUGGUCUCCAGAUCGAUCUUGAUGGUGCCAUUUCUGCAAACUUUUAGCUAUACAGAAGGGAGAUUGUGUUUGGAGUAAAGAACGACCAACCUCACCACAUUUGGACUCAAAGAAUAACUUUGGAUCUGUUUGAGUGACCUGCGUGUAUUAAAACAGAACCAUGACAGAAUGAAUACCUAGUGGUAGUAGCAUGAGUGCAGGUACCAAACCUUCUUGUCAAUGUUUGUGCAGUAGAUAGUCCUUGCACACAUUUCACGUUCAUCGUCAGACUACAGAGCACAGAAAAUCGACCAACUUUCUUAGAGACCAUAUCAGAGAGUAAGCAAACUGAAACAUGGUUGGAUAUGGAUAUAUUACCCUCAUCAGUGAACUCUAUGAAAGCAAACCUAAGGACUGAAUUUGGGUCCCCACACAUGCGACAGUCCACAACCUUCAGAGAGCAUAUCCAAGAUUAUGCACAGUUGGAUCAAAAUCAAAUGGGGAACUAAAUACAUGUAAGAGGGUUUACAACUGUCCCAUAAAUUUGUACCUGUCCGCAAUUUAUAAAUAGUGUUGCGAGGUUUUCUUCAGUAACCUGAACAAUAGAAGAGAAAUUAGCACUAGAACUACAUAUGAUUGUUAGUUAGCAACUCAAACAUUUCACUACAAUAUUGAAUAAAUAGCACACUACAGAAGCUACCAUAUAGAAUAACAGUUAGAUAAAAAUUGUCCUAAUACAUUACCCCCAACGUUUUCAACUCCGAUUGGCAAAAAGGUAACACUGUCAUGUAUGACAGAAAAGAAAGGGGCGCAGCCAUACAAAGCUAUGGCAACAACUACAUGUUUUAAGAAAGGUUGGCUAUUCACAAUUAAUUUGUAUUUUACAAAAACAACAGUAUAACUAACUACAUCAACAAACACUAUCUUAGUAGCCAUAGAAGUGUGCCAAACUUAAAUAUGUGCAUUGCAAAAUGUUUGUAGAUAAGGGCAUGUAUUGAUUUAAUUAUGGUAGUUACUUUAUGUCAUCAAUUCGUAUUACAUAUCAGUUUGAUUGAUUAAUACAAGGUAACUACUGAAUGCAUAAACAAAGUUUCAAAUUAAUCUUACGGUAUGCUUUAACCAGGGCAGUGCAACAUGAUGCAGGAACUGGAGAUGACGGCAUCUCUCUAAGAACAUAUUGUAUUAAAGGAAAACCAGACAAAUAUCAGUGAAGAGCAUUCCUAUUAAGUGAGAUUGUAACCAACACUUGCCAGAUAUAUACCUUAAUACAGUCACCAAUAACAUGAGCAUCCUCUUCUGGAGAGAACUCGUUUUUCCCUUAAAAACAAACUAAAUGUGUCUUAAAUAGUACACAGAAGAUGGUAAAGCAGUCAAAGCAAAUAAAAAUACAAUUCCCACACAUUAUUAUGGCCCUCAUAAAAUAUCUGUAUGAAAACAUAGUGAAGAAGACAAAUUAUUUUAAAUUGAAGUAAAGACUGCCAAACACCAAACGUAGUUAUCCUAGAUAAGAAAACAAAAGGUUCAGUCCAAAGAAAUCACCCUUUUCAUAAUCCUGAAUUCUGCGUUUGACUUCUUCAACAUCAGCAGACUGACGCAGGAUGCCCUCUACCUUUACCCCUACAGAUAAAGGUUUUUUUUGUGUGUAUUAAGACUAUGUUGAAUGAUUUAUAGCCAUUUAUGCUUUUACUCACCACAGUGUAAAAUUUGCUAAGACUGUGUAAUGACCGCAAUAAGCAAAAGAACUUACCAUGAUCUUCAAUGAACUUCAGGGCCUUCUCCAGAAAUGAUGGACUACCAUCAGCAUGCUGCAGAUCUCUCACUGUGCAAGAAGUCUAUCUGAUGAAGGACUGCAACUUCAACUCCUGCGGCACCACGCAUUCGCUCGCCUGCGCGCCCACGCACUGCCGCACACUGAAUUUGCAGGUCCAUCACAAGAUAUGAGAAACAAUUCUGUAUUGUGCGCCUGAAGUAAUUGUCUGCUCCAUACUCAUGUAUGAAUAUACCAACUCUACUUUUAAAAGAAAAACUAUUACUCAUAGAAAAAAGGAGCAUACCUCUUCCCUGUUUCCCCAGCCAUCAUAGGCUACAUAGUAUCCAUUUUGUGCUGUAGCUCCAACUGUUGCUUUAUACCUAGCAUUUUAGCCAAUCAAACAUGUUGUAAUGAAAUGAAGUGAAAAAUAUUAAAGAUAAGAUUAUCUAGACACAAACAAUGAUAGAUAUAUCAAAGAGAAGCUCACACAUUCUCCAUCUUCACUCCACCCAGCUUGAACUCUAGUACCAACGCCAAACCUAUGGGAAUGUGAAAAUAUUGUAAUGACUAUGCUCGUGUUUUUUCUUAAUGCAAUGGUCCAUGGUAGCGAGGUUACCAGCCAGGGAAAAAGCAGACAUAAGUGUAAAGCACUCGACAGGGGUUGAUGGCUAGCUAAUCUACGCUCCAAACUGUGAUUAAUAAGAUAAGGAAGAUGGUGGUACUUACUGAUGAGGGUCCCACCGUUGAUCCGGGACUUUGUGCUGCCAAAGGCGGCGACGGAGAGGGCCCCGCCGCUGACACCUAGUCGCUGCAGAGUUAUUUCUACUCCAUACUUCACCGUGUGAGAUCUUGCAAACCUGAGGUAUGAAUAUCUAAUAGCAUGAAUCUAAGUAGCAAGUGAUAGCACAUAUCACAAAACAGUUGCUGUGAAAACCAAAUAAAUUAAAAACGAUGAGAUAGAGUACACAAGUUACUCUAGCCACAACGAAACGAGCACCUCACCCUGUAGAAAGUCCUGCUUUGAGUACAGGCUGUUAUAGUCAACAUCAACAUCCGUCUCAGAUUUGGAAUCCAGGAAUUCUGAUACCUGAAAAAAGUAACAGGAGAGAUAACGAUAGUAUCAUACGUAAGUGACAUAAAUCAUAAAUGGGAACUCCAUGCUUUAGAUAAGCGGCUUAAAAAAUAUGUUCCUAAAGUGGCCUACAACUAAGUGUAAGAUAAUGUGGUGAAUGUUGUACCCAUGAAUAAAGUGAGCACUUAUGCAAUGUUGUACAAGAUUUACCUCAUCGACUAGUUGCCUAACUAAAAUUGGUCAUGCAGUCCCAACAACAAGAAUCCUAAUUUAACUCCUAGUUAACUUCUAAAAUUUUCAUGUGCCUAAUACUUCAAAUAUGCUAAUACCUUAUAUUAAAGUAGAUCUAAAAUCACCCACUUAAUCACAUAUAUGUACUAGUCCACCUCAUAACCGUGCACAAAAUCAUUUCAAAUAAACUCAUAAUUUUAGACCUAAACUUCACAUAUAAACACAAUCAACACAACAACACUGAUAGGACCCGUCAGAUAGCCGAUAAAAAUUCUGAACUCAUCCUACGCAAUUUUAGUUCACCACAAUCAUAACAUCGAACCUAUAAAACCUAGACUUGGUCAUAUCAUUAUAAAUAAUGGGACAACUAAACAAACACUUUAUGGCGAGGCACUUCAACGAUCAUCUAAUAUAAGCACUACAAAUACUUAAUACCACCACAAUAUCUACAAAGAAAAGAGAGGAAAGAAUCCUUCCCUGUAUAACUCAAUGGACUAGCACGCAAGCACUGCUACGGAUCAUGAGGUUAUCCCAGAGCACAUCAACCUCAAUCAAUUCCGAAUACACAAGAACGACGUCAAUCCCAUGGCUCAGGCGUCCCACCGAAUACCUGGCGAGCAUCACAUGACCUCACUCCUUUAAUUACUUCCUUGCUCAAACAUGGGGAUUUCAAUUCUUCACAAAAAUGCACACAUAUACACAAUUAAUAAUUAAGCACGGGCGCCGGAUGGGAAACGAACAGAGCAAAACACGACACGGACGUGACCUGAGCAAACAUCGGCGUGGAGCUAGGGGCCAAGCAGAGGAGGUACGAAAAGGAACGGUACCUAGAUGCUUGACCACGCCAUCGGGAGGGGCUGGGAGCUCGGCAUCGGCCUGGGCGUCGAUGGAGAGGAGCAGGGACGGGAGGGGGCGCUCGCGUGCUGGCAUGGGGAGGGCGCGGCGAGCAGAACGGUCGGACCUGGCAAACCUGGUCGGAGCAGGGAGGGAACCAGGGGGAUGGAGGAGCUGGACGUGAGGGCGACGGCACGUCCGACGUUGGGGCUGAGGCGAGCUCACCAUGGAAGCAGGGGCACAACCAUGGUAGGGUUGCUGCAGAGAGGAAGAUGGAGGGAGGGGCAUCGGCUGGACACAACAACAGGAAGGGGAGCUAGUUGGACCUGAGCAGGGCGACGUCGGCCAUGGAGGUUUGGGCAUUGACGCUCGGCUUGGGAGAAGCCAGGGAUGGCGCUUGAGGAAGAGAGAUGCUGGUGAAGGGAUCUCACGUGUGGGGGAGGAAAACUGGGCUCCAUGCCUCCAUGGCGGCUGAAAGGAUAAGGAUGGUUGGAGAAUCUCCUGUUGAGCGAUUUACACCAGGAUAAGGCCCUUAAGGAUUGGUUUGGUGACAAGGGGAUCCCGAGAGGAUUGGAGGUGAUUGAAGGGGAAAUAAACUAAUUUCCCCUUCAAUCCCCUCUUAUCCUCCCGGGAUCCCGGGUCACCAAAUCAGCUCUAAGAGUCAUGCGAUCCAUUCUUGACUCUUGAGAGGACAAUGCCGGCUACAGAAAAGCCUAGAAGCCCCAAGCGGCUGGAGAUAGAGCUGAUGAUUAGUAAAAGAGAAAUUAGAUCUUUCUCCCAUUUUCUUCAAUAAAAGAAUAUAAACCCGAGCUCUAAAAUUAGAGUUUGAACAGGGUAUAAGUGGAUCAGAUCACAAUGAUACAGGUCGACAGUACUUGUGACAGGGUUUAAUUUAAUCGAAACCAAAUUGAAUUUAUCUGAAUCUCAUUUAUAUUGGCAAAAGCAAAUUUUAGAAAUCCGAGUUCUAGUAUUAGGAUUUAGACGUGGUCUAAUUUAGUCGGACCAAAAUUAUAUGGGUGAUUGUAUUUAGACAACUUUUGCUUAAGUUUGAAAUUGGACAAAAAUGUAUCUGCUAAGGAACAUAUUUAAUUUCUUCGCCUUAAUGAAUGGGGAAACUGAUUAAUUGCGAAUGCACGCUCUCGGCUCCAAUUUUCUCGGUCUAGUUUAAUCUCGCAUCAACACACUUGUCGUCGAGCUUCUAAUAAACUUUACUCGGGUCAAAAAUUACAGGAGUGGGUCGAGGUUCCAAAUUCUUAUCCGCUUAAUCGAUAAAUUUUAAUCAGACACAAAAUUCGACAUUUCGGGAAAUAAAUACGAGAGAUCAAUGUGGCAUCGAAAUUGUGAUCCUUUCUGAAGCGACGUCGCACAACGUUCACGUGGGCGAGAGGCUGCGAGCUGUCCAGACACGGAUUUGCACCGCCACACGCGUCAUGAUGUCUGACCACAGAUAGACAUGGGCAACGCAAGCGUGAAAGAAUUUCAAACAAAUUUUAAGGAAUCAGAUUCGAUUUCAAAGAUUGAAGUUUAGGCAAGACGUCGAUGGCUCAACCCAAACGAUAUUGGAUCUGAUGUUUCGGAAGAUUACUAAAGCCUAAAUUUUUGCAAAAUAAAUUAGGACAAUUUAAACAAAAGGAGACAGGCAUGAUAUCAAAAUCGUGAUAGACGAAGAUGAUCAAAAUUUAGUGUCCAUUUUAUUCACCGCUAUCACGUGUUAAAGUCCGCACUCGUGGUCGAGCCGACAAUAAACACCUGGGGUGUUACAGAUAAGUUUUACUUUAUAUCAUAUAUAUCAUCAAACUAAGUCGAAUUCACUAUUCACUAUGGUUUUUUCACAAUAUGACUUAUCAGAAAUAUCAUACUAAGAUGGUUUCGUAUUUAGAAGUGUCUAGUAUACCCACUAACAUCUAAGUCAGUUCUUAUACCCUAGACGACUCUAAUAAUAUCUUUUAUUUGAGAUGGUUUCAUAUGUAGAAGUGUCUAAUAUACUAACCAAAAUCUAAGACAAUUCUUAAAAUCAUAAUGAAUCAAAAGGAAUAUUUAUUUAAGAUGGUUUUCAAUAACAAUCCGUCUUAAAUCAACAUAAGACAUUUCUUACGAUGUAACCGUCUCAAAACACUUCUUUAUUAAAGACGGAUCUCCAAUAAACUGUCUUACCUUAUUCAUCACCAUAUGAUAAAAGACGCUUCUAUAAAAUGCACAUGUAUCUGUCUUAAAAUGUGCGUCUUAAAUAAGCAUAUUUCUAGUAGUGAAAAAUGGUCGCUCGGCCAUGAAAACGUGUGCUAUAGUUCAUGGGACCAAAACAACCUUACCAGUCUCUAUGGUCAAAUAAUGGGUGGCGGUCGGGAGGCACAAAAUCGCUGUUCGACGACAAAAACAUGUGUCACGGGAGGCCAAAAUAGCCUUACGGGCCGCCGGGGACUAAAACGUGUACUAUGGUUUGGACACUAAAAUUCUACCAUGCCUGCAAGCUUACUAUGGUUUGGAGACUCAAACUUCAUUUUACUAUGGUUUGGACACUAAAACCUUUUAGUGUCGGUGUUUAAGGUUAGGGUUUAGGGAUUGGAUCUUGGGUCUAGGUUACCAUAAAAACAUGCGCUAUAGCUCACUUGUGGCAAAAAAUGUCGUAACGGCCUCUCCGAUCUAAAAUGUAGGUGGCAGGUCGGAUGAGGCCAUAAUCAGCCUUAGCAGUCUCAGUGGCCAAAUCAUGGGUGGCGGACGGGAGGCAUGAAAUCGUCGUUUGACGAUGAAAACAUGUGUCACGGGAGGCCAAAAAUAGCCUUACCGGCCUCCGGGGACCAAAACGUGUACUAUGGUUUGGACACUAAAAUUCUACUAUGUCAGCAAAGUUGAUAAGGUUGGGAGACUCAAAUUUCAUUUUACCAUGGUUUCAACACUAAAAUCCUUUAGUGUCGAUGUUUAGGUUUAGGGAUAAGAUUUAUGUAACACCCCUGGUGUUACUAUAACUAAAACUUGAGCAUGGCAUCAUAAGCAUUGGCAUUGCAUAUGUUUGACACACCUAGAGUGCAUUCACUAGGUAAAAAUUUCAAACAAGUUGUAUUGUUCUAGUGUUUUUCAAAUAGGACCCUGGAUAGGGAACUUAACCCUAAAUAGGGAUUAAAGGGGUAAAACCAAACCCAAGUUGAGAAAACCUAAAAGCUUUAGGGUAAAAGUCAUAAAAUAACCCCAAGAAUAAACUUGAAUCACCUUUAUACCCCUGGGAUACCAAAAACCCUAAUUGGAACCCUGGAAAACCCUAAAACCAAACCCUAGGGACCUAUGUGCAAAAUUAGUCCACUUUUGGACUAAAGUGCAAAAACCAAGUCAAAUAAGUUUCUUAAGUCCUUUGGUUCACAAAUGUGUGGACUUGAAAGCCAAACAUUGAGUUUUGGACUUAAAUGCAAAAUGGACCAAAGUUGGAGCCUUGUAACUUUCAAACAUGUUCUUGUGAGAACAAACAUUGAAAUUUCAGAGUUUUGGCUCAACUUUGGAGCCUUGUAACUUUCAAACUAUAGAAUUUUUGCCCUAAAUCACCACACCAAAGUUGUAGAGCAAUCAAAGGAGAACAAUUUUGCUGAAGAGAGCAAGCCAUGUUCUUGUGAGAAAUUUGGAGAUAAUCAUGCUCUAAACUUGACUGUCAGGCUGUUUAAGUUCUGAAUCUCAGACAAGCAGCGCAACUGCAGGCACUUUGGGCAUGAAUUAAUACAUGAUCGAGCAAGUAUUUGCCUAGGAUUGCUAUACCAAGAUUAUAGCUGGAUCCUAGGGCUACAACUUUGCUAAAGAGUGUCGAUCAUGUUGAUAUAUAAAAUCAAGAGAAAAUCUGCCCUAAAUCCUGGCUGUCAGAUGACUGAAGAACAAACGCCAUGGUACAGUGCAUUGGGGAAACAGAUAAGGGUCUGAUCGCCGCGGCAGAAAAUCUCACCGCCGACGACCUAUCCGCGCCGCGAUUUGCGCCGGGGUCGAGAUGAUUAGGCGGCGAGCAUCUCCCUGCGAAGACCUCUUUGCUCCGGAUAAGACCGCCGCGGUGGAGGGCACUAACUCCGGUUGCCACGCGGCCAUCCCUCCUUCCGGCCAUGUCCGGUCACCGGCACCGCCCUCCUCUGUUCGGCCACGCCAUCACGGAUUUGACUGCCUUACGGCCGUGGUUGAACGUGGCAAGCUCUAGGGGAGUGCCGUGCUCAGUGCCAUCGCUGAUCGCCAGCUAGGGCCAGCAAUGGUUAUCACCGUGAUCGCGGCAGUGAUUCACCGCGGCUAUAAAUUCACCCCGUCCUCGCCCCCUUUUCUCAAAUCAACCGAGCUCCGGCCUUCGUCUCCAAAUUGCGAAGCUGUAGCAACCAUUCCUGUCCCCGAUUAGUCACCCUGGCCGGAGAAUUGCCAUUUUCCCCCAAAUCAUUCCGCCGCGCCACCCAAAACAGCCCGCCCGUGGCCAGCUUACUCUGGUAAGUCACUGUCCAAUCCAUGUGUUGUUCUAGUGCUUCUACAUCUUGCGAAGCUCACAGUGGCGUCCGUUUGCUCUAUUCGACCAUGGUUUGGCGGGAACAUGUGCUCACAAACUCGGUGUCUGCCACGAUCGUGGGCAGACGGCUCCCAGGGGGGUUCCUGUCCAAUUAACGGUUGUUCAUAGAUCGUCUUAGGUCGGUAAAGCCUCCCCGAGGGUUAGCUUGAGCAAUCAUCGCCGGCUAUGGCCGGUAUGUACCACGGCAGGGAUGAACAAUAAGCGCGCCGCGGUUGGGGAGCUCCUUGGAGAAGAAAUAGAAGUACGAGGGUAUUUCUGCAAUGUGUCAGCGACUUAGUGCAAUAGUAAAUGAACCUGCUUCGGUUUAGCUGAAAAGACGAGGGCCUCUAUGCAAAGUAGCCAGAGCACGCAGGCGCGCGCCGGCGCGCGACCCUUUUCCUGCGUCGUUGGGCCGACCUGGGUCAGAAUCGGCCCAAGACUGUUACAAGUUUCUCUUUUUCUUUUUAUUCCAGAACUAAAACAAUUAUAGAAAAUGAUAGAAAAAUCAUAAAAUUGUGAAACCAAUUUUCCUAGACUCCUUAUUUUCCCUAGUAUUUAAUAAAAAUAGUUUCAUGAUUUUUAGUUUAAACAGGGAAUUUUAGGGCAUUUAAAAUAGCUUAAAGAAAUAGUUCUGGAAUUUUAGAGAAUUAAUAGUAAUGCCAAAAAUGUUCAAAAUUUUUAUAUGAACACCCCAUAUUAUUUAGAAGCCUUGGGUAGAGUUUGAAUUGAUUUGGACCUUGUUUGAUAACUAGAACCCAAAACCCUACCCCUGCCCUUUGAACUCCUUUACUGACUCCGGAAACCCUAAGUUCUCGGAGUCCCAUGAAGGAAAGUUGUAUUCAAAACUUAGUUAAUAAACCUUUAUUAUCUAUGCACUCUCAUAAGCAUUACAUGACAUUCAUUCUUAUAUAUAUACCUAUAUGGUUAUAUUUAGAAAACGAAGAAGAGAGUGAAGUGACUGAAGAGAAGACACCACCACCUUUGGAAUCUCAGGCAGGGACUUGGCUCUACUUCGACAUCUGCGGGUCCGAGCCUGACUCACCUACUAAUGAAGGCAAGCCCCGGUGCAUGCAACCCCUUUCCUUGUGUUUUUAAAUAAUUUUUGCACACUUUAAGUCUAGUGAAAUGUGCAUUAGGUUCAUAGGAGUUACUUGGAACCCUUUGAUGCAUUGCUUCCUUGAUAUCCAUACCUUUAUAGAUACUUCUGAUGAAGUAUCAAAAAUAUGAUUUACAAAAAUGCUUAGCCCUGCUUAGAUCUUGUGGAUAGAAGUUGUCUUUUGCAAUACUGUUUAGCUCAGGGGUUAUCUUGAGGAAAGAUGACUUCUACCUGCAAGAAUAUUUUCAUUAAGAGCGUGGUGGGAUCUUACUGCAAAGCUCCCUGUGAUGCUCUUUUCAUCCUAAGGAACAGAACCAAUCCUAAGGAUGGAAGUACUUAAAUCGAGACUUGGGUUAGGAACAGGUGAUGUUCUACCCAGGUUGAUUAAGGAUUGGAUGCGUAUGUAGGCCUGCUAGCGCAAGGACUAUCUUAGCUAGCCGCAUACCCUGGAAAUGGGACAGGGUAAGCUUUGCCUCGGGCAGACUAAGGCCAGAAUAAGAUAACACGAAAUGGGCGUGGAGCGGUGGCGGGAGUAGCGUUUACCCUCCGUGGCAAGAGGCUGGACUGUGGUGUAUCUGUGCUCUCGGUUUGCGUGAACCUGAUCUGGUCUUAAGAACCCUGGGGUCGAGUUGACAUAUGCAAGGAUUAAGUGCUACAUAUGUCGUGUGGUUAGAGAUCCUCAGCUGAGUAAAUCGAUUCGGAUCACCGUUAUAUCCCCGGAGAGUGGAGACUUGAUCACUGACCUACAACCUAAGUCAGGAUGUGAACUUCAUGAAUAAAAAUGAUGUUGUAUUGAUGAGAUGAUGAAAUUAGACUAGAGGCAAACAGAGUCUAUUGAUAUUUAAUUUGGCGUUAAAAUAUUGAAAGUAAGGACUCACUCUAGUAAGCUAUUUCUUCAAAAGUAUCUAAGUUGAUUCUUGCUAAAGCCUCUCCUUGAUCCCUAUUUAUCCAGCAUCCCCUUGAGAGUCUUUUCCUUAGUCGGGUAAGACUUGCUGAGUAAUUCCAUACUUAGGGUUUAUCCCUUCGUUGUUUUUAGGUGAGGAAGCGACAAAGUUUUGUUGCUUUUGCUCCAAGGUGGUAUCAAAUGAAGAAGUAGAAGAAUGAAGAUGCGGGAGGACGUGGUCCUCCAUAUAGGACUUUUUGUUUGAUAGUUAUCGGGAGGAGUUUUUACCUCCCUUGGAAUGUGUAAUAAUACUACUCAGCACUCGUUUAUAGCACUGGUCUGUAAUAAGUAACUUGAUCUUACUUUCUAAAUAAAUGUAAGUUUAUGUAAAAGCUUCUGCAUUUCUUUAUCUUCGAUGUUCUGUAAUGUCUGCAAGACGGGUGAGACGUUCCUGGAAAGGUAAGGAAAGAUACCGAACUUGUCAAGUAGUUCAGGGGCACCUACAGGGUUGUCUGAGGUCCGUUGGACAAGGACAACUGUAGGUGGGCCUAAUUACUUGGGAGGUUCCGUCACAGCUGGUAUCGGAGCGUAGCCCUUCUUUGCAGAUAUUAUGCGGCAUCUUCAAAAAGAUUUUCUAAAAAGUCUUACCUAGAAACUCUUUUCCCUUCUUACCUAAGUAUUCUGAAGAGUUUAUCUUAAAGACCAGAUAGGAAGAGUGCAAUGUAUAGAAGGUUGAAUCAACUAAGGUUGAUUCUGUAAUUACACAUGCAUCAUGUCAUACAAACUUUAAGUUAAACCCCCUGUGUAGCUAGUUUAGUACAUGAUUCAUCUACCUUGUUCAUACAUCCUUAGUGAAUAGAGUGCAUCCGUUGCCCUUCUCUAUAGAUGAAUCAACAGGAAGCUCCUACAGGAGUUGGAGAGUUUCUACGAGAUUUUGGUGUUCCAGUGGUCCUGUGGCGACUACUUCAAGAAGUUGGAUAUACCGAAGCACCCAAGUACCAGUGGUCACGCACUGUUCUUAGAGGACAACCAUGGUAUGAGGUAGUAGUGCGUAUUCCAGAACGUGCUAGAAAACCAUCUUGGCCAUAUUGGAUGUUCCAUGCUGAAGGAAUGACUCCUUGGGAGGGUGCUCAGGUAGCUGCCUUAGAGGUGCUAACAACCAUUUGUUACCAGAAAAGGGAAGAAAUACAAGCCACAUCUAUGAGGUUGUUCCCUGCAGUUGCCUUAAGUGACCCAUUGGUGUAUCAUCACCAGGCCCGAUUAAUGGAAAGUAUUCCUAUUGGGCAGGAUUCUGUUGAAUCGGCAUCUGCUCGAGUUUUGAUGGCCGUGCUAGAGUUGCAACUUACUCGAGGGCACAGUCGUCAAAAGUGGCAGCAGUUGUACACUGGGAGUUAUGCAGCAUUUAAGAUGAUGGAAAUGGCCAAGAAUAGUGCUUGUACCCAAGCACAAGAACGACUUGAGGAAACAAAGGUUCAACCGGAACAGGUUAUUGGACUAGAGCAUCAGGUGACAGAACUUCAGAUGCAACACCAAGCUGAUCAGAAUCGCAUUAAGGUGCUUGAGCAUCAGCUAACUAAUGCUCAUUCUAAAUUAAAAAUUUUGAGUCAACAACAAGAAGAAAUUUGUCUGUAUGCUGUUGCUGUUAGAGAAGACCUUAAGGAAACCAUGAGCUUCAUAAGCCAUCAGGAUCAGGCGAUCAAAGAAUUGAAUCGUGCUCAUCCCAUGGAAUUUCAAGUAGCACAACGGCUUGUCAACCAUCUGCAGCAAUCAGUGCAUAGGCUCAAUGCUGCCGUUGAUCCUACUCCUGCAUCGGUGGACUAAGGGUUCCUUGGAAGAAUGGCAACAAACAUCUGGCAGAUGGUGUAGCUAGAGAAGAUGUAGUAGAUCAAUGUAAUAAGGUAGGUGUAGAUAGACCAGCUUGGUAAUAAAAACAGGUUAAACUUCGUUGGAAAGAGUUUUCCUGUUUCACCUGGAUCAUGUAACAUGUGAGCUUUUAUAUGACUAUGGUGUAAGAAACGACUGCCGGUUUCUGAGGCAACUUUUAAUAUCUAUAGUAGUUUGUCAAAAUUCAAGAGUUAAGAUGGCUAUUCCUUUGGAUAUUUCAUGCGGAUCGUCGUGUUGCUUUAUUAACCCAACCUAGGAAAGACAUGUCCGACCAUUUUUUUUGAAUUUGAUGCCUUUGGUUUCCCCAUACCUAUCGAAGGCAUACCAACUUAAUCCUUGACCUUGUGAUUUCUAUGAUGGGCAUAGAAAUAUGCCUGGGGCUGAUUUAACAGUCUCCCAUCGUACUUCUUUCAAAGUUUAGAUUAUGGCCAUGCCUUGGGCCAUGAUCUAUUUGGCGCUCUACUUGUAGCCAUCUUUACUGGUGGAGUAUCCCUUUGUAUAUAGUCACCCUUGCUCAAUCUAUCGGUGUCGCGUGAGAUUUCUUAUUGGUUAUGUCUGGUAAUGGUGUUAUGACUAAAAUCGGUGACACCACGCUGAAACCGAGGGCCUCCGGUGGGUGCACACACAUGGUUGCGCUACUUGGCACGCGCUAGUAUCACAGUUAGUAGUCAUAAUCCAUUAUAAGACUAUAUUGAUAUGUUAUCUCUAUACAAAUUAUUCUUACCACGUGAGAUUCAUUAUUGGUGCCAGUUUUGUAAUGGUGUCAUGGUUAAGGACUUAUGGUACCACGGUGAAACUGAGAGCCUCCUGUGAAUGUGCACCCAAGAUUUUGCUGCUUGGCGCAUGUCGGUAUCGAGGUCUCUAGUCAUGAUCCAUUAUGGAAUUACACUGAUGUGUUAUCUUCCAUUGACCUUUCCUUGAAACAAUUUCUAUGUUGUUUGUGAAAGAGAUCAAGCAACAUCUGUCAUUUCCGUUGGAUCAAAAGGGCAGACCACUUUCAUAUGUGGUCUUAUUUCUUUUGAUCUUGGUAGUGACUACUCAAGUUCCCUUUACAUCCUUUGUGUAAAGGUGAAUCCUUGGAGCUUUUUAGUGUAAGCAAACAACUGAUUAGCUCUCAAAAUAGAGAUCUGUUUCCCCUGCUGCUGAAAUGCAGGAGUUUGUUCAUUCACUCUCUUAUUUAAUCCAUGUAUUCCCUAACCAAGUGGAUAAUUCAUCUCGCUUGAAGAAACGGAUGAACAACCUGACCAAAUGGAUUUCUACCCAAAUGCAUGACCUUUUGCUUGCAAAUGUGAACUCUCAACCCCUUGGCUUACCAAUGGUACUGAGAGGAUUUGCUUAAUGUCAAAAGUAGUUCAACAAGUUGGUUUUGACUAACUUGUAACUGCCCGUUGAACGAAGGCUGAGUUUAAAGAUCGUUUAGUCGAGUUGUCUAAACUCACUUUGGUUCAACUCACCCUAAAGAAAGUGCUUAUCAAAAUCAAAUUAAGUCGACCAGUAACCACUUAAUUAUCGCUCUAGUCACGCCUCGACCGUCUCACACAUGCUUUUCCUGCAUGUGUGAUCAUGUCGAUUCAUGACUAGUGCUGGAUAAAAUGGACUGGUUGCAAAGUCCGCAUCUACAGAUCCCUCCGCUGGUGAUUUUUCUUGAAUCUAUAUCACCUUUCGUGGACUUGGAUUCCUUGGCUAACACGAGUUAACUGGGAUGUUAUUCGACAUUCACACCCAUCUCGUGUGCUAUGAACUUACUGUAACCACUUGUUGGUAAACCUCUUUCUGUGUGUUUUACCCAAGAUGGUGCAUCUGAUUCUGUUUGGGGAAAAAUCGCGUAUUUGCCACUUGCCCAACAGACUCAGAUAGUACAGUGUCAUCAGAAGAAGCAAAUUGCACACAUGGAACCUUAUGUGUUCUUCUGGUGGGCAAAGAUGAAAACUGAAAUUGCACGCUAUGUGGCUAGAUGUGACACUUGUAAACGUGUCAAGGCCAUAUACAUGAAGACUGCUGGUCCAUUACAAUCUUUGCCAAUCCCAACAUGGAAAUGGGAAGAUAUUAGUAUGGACUUCAUUGUGGGAUUACCCAGGACUACAAAAGGGUAUGAUUCUAUCUGGGUGAUUGUUGAUCGACUCACAAAGAUUGCCCACUUCUUACCUGUCAGGACAAAGUAUACAGUGGCCACUUAUGCAGCAUUGUACAUUGCUCGUAUUCUUAGUCUGCAUGGUGUUCCGAAGACUAUAGUGUCGGAUCGUGGACCUCAAUUCGUAUCCAAAUUCUAGGAAGAACUUCAUAAAUCCCUGGGUACUAAACUGCUCCACAGUUCGGCCUAUCAUCCUCAAACCAGUGGACAGACUGGGAGAGUAAAACAAAUACUUGAAGAUAUGCUGCGGGCAUGUAUUCUGGACUUCUCACAGAAAUGGGAUGAAUGUUUGCCCUUAGCGGAGUUUUCAUAUAAUAAUAGCUAUCAAGAAAGUAUCAAGAUGGCACCUUUCGAAGCUUUAUAUGGACGUCGAUGUCGUACUCCGCUAAAUUGGUCUGAACCUGGUGAAAGGUGUUUCUUUAGGCUUGAUAUGGUGAAAGAGGCCGAGGAUAAGGUUCAGAAAAUUAUUCAUAAUAUGAAUAAAGCACAAGCUCGUCAGAAGAGUUAUGCAGACAAACGGCGAAUGCCCUUAUAUUUCCUGGAAGGAGACUAUGUCUACCUGAAGGUCUCACCAAUGAAGGGAGUAUCACGUUUCGGGGUUAAAGGGAAGCUUGCACCACGAUAUAUUGGUCCUUUUCUUAUUUUGGAAAGAUAUGGGCCAGUGACAUACCGACUCCAACUACCCGAAACAUUGUAUGCUGUGCAUAAUGUGUUCCACGUGUCACAAUUGAAGAAGUGUCUUCGGGUUCCCAAUCGAACCGUUGAAGUAACAGAUGUUGUCCUUGAACCGGACUUGACAUACUCUGAGCACCCUAUUCGAGUCUUGGAUCAAAAGGACAGGGUUACCCGGAGAAAAACUCUCAAGUUUUAUAAGAUACAGUGGAACCAGCAUUCUGAAGAUGAGGCUACAUGGGAAACUCCAGACUUUUUAGAUAAGAAUUUCCCAGACUUUUUAGCCUCUUGUAAAUUAUAAAGCCUGUAUAACUGUGUAAUAAAGAAGUGACCCCCACAUCACCCCUGCCUUGUACCAGAAAUAAGGAAAUAAAAGUAUCCCGCGUUUCCUUUUCCAUUACUUACCCUAGGACUUUUAAUCUCGGGACGAGAUUCUUUUAUGGGGGGAAGGAUGUAACACCCCUGGUGUUACUAUAACUAAAACUUGAGCAUGGCAUCAUAAGCAUUGGCAUUGCAUAUGUUUGACACACCUAGAGUGCAUUCACUAGGUAAAAAUUUCAAACAAGUUGUAUUGUUCUAGUGUUUUUCAAACAGGACCCUGGAUAGGGAACUUAACCCUAAAUAGGGAUUAAAGGGGUAAAACCUAACCCAAGUUGAGAAAACCUAAAAGCUUUAGGGCAAAAGUCAUAAAAUAACCCCAAGAAUAAACUUGAAUCACCUUUAUACCCCUGGGAUACCAAAAACCCUAAUUGGAACCCUGGAAAACCCUAAAACCAAACCCUAGGGACCUAUGUGCAAAAUUAGUCCACUUUUGGACUAAAGUGCAAAAACCAAGUCAAAUAAGUUUCUUAAGUCCUUUGGUUCACAAAUGUGUGGACUUGAAAGCCAAACAUUGAGUUUUGGACUUAAAUGCAAAAUGGACCUCAAUUAGGUUCUAUUCUAAGUCUGAAAUUUCAGAGUUUUGGCUCAACUUUGGAGCCUUGUAACUUUCAAACUAUAGAAUUUUUGCCCUAAAUCACCACACCAAAGUUGUAGAGCAAUCAAAGGAGAACAAUUUUGCUGAAGAGAGCAAGCCAUGUUCUUGUGAGAAAUUUGGAGAUAAUCAUGCUCUAAACUUGACUGUCAGGCUGUUUAAGUUCUGAAUCUCAGACAAGCAGCGCAACUGCAGGCACUUUGGGCAUGAAUUAAUACAUGAUCGAGCAAGUAUUUGCCUAGGAUUGCUAUACCAAGAUUAUAGCUGGAUCCUAGGGCUACAACUUUGCUAAAGAGUGUCGAUCAUGUUGAUAUAUAAAAUCAAGAGAAAAUCUGCCCUAAAUCCUGGCUGUCAGAUGACUGAAGAACAAACGCCAUGGUACAGUGCAUUGGGGAAACAGAUAAGGGUCUGAUUGCCGCGGCAGAAAAUCUCACCGCCGACGACCUAUCCGUGCCGCGAUUUGCGCCGGGGUCGAGAUGAUCAGGCGGCGAGCAUCUCCCUGCGAAGACCUCUUUGCUCCGGAUAAGACCGCCGCGGUGGAGGGCACUAACUCUGGCUGCCACGCGGCCAUCCCUCCUUCCGGCCAUGUCCGGUCACCGGCACCGCCCUCCUCUGUUCGGCCACGCCAUCACGGAUUUGACUGCCUUACGGCCGUGGUUGAACGUGGCAAGCUCUAGGGGAGUGCCGUGCUCAGUGCCAUCGCUGAUCGCCAGCUAGGGCCAGCAAUGGUUAUCACCGUGAUCGCGGCAGUGAUUCACCGCGGCUAUAAAUUCACCCCGUCCUCGCCCCCUUUUCUCAAAUCAACCGAGCUCCGGCCUUCGUCUCCAAAUUGCGAAGCUGUAGCAACCAUUCCUAUCCCCGAUUAGUCACCCUGGCCGGAGAAUUGCCAUUUUCCCCCAAAUCAUUCCGCCGCGCCACCCAAAACAGCCCGCCCGUGGCCAGCUUACUCUGGUAAGUCACUGUACAAUCCAUGUGUUGUUCUAGUGCUUCUACAUGCUUGCGAAGCUCACAGUGGCGUCCGUUUGCUCUAUUCGACCAUGGUUUGGCGGGAACAUGUGCUCACAAACUCGGUGUCCGCCACGAUCGUGGGCAGACGGCUCCCAGGGGGGUUCCUGUCCAAUUAACGGUUGUUCAUAGAUCGUCUUAGGUCGGUAAAGCCUCCCCGAGGGUUAGCUUGAGCAAUCAUCGCUGGCUAUGGCCGGUAUGUACCACGGCAGGGAUGAACAAUAAGCGCGCCGCGGUUGGGGAGCUCCUUGGAGAAGAAAUAGAAGUACGAGGGUAUUUCUGCAAUGUGUCAGCGACUUAGUGCAAUAGUAAAUGAACCUGCUUCGGUUUAGCUGAAAAGACGAGGGCCUCUAUGCAAAGUAGCCAGAGCACGCAGGCGCGCGCCGGCGCGCGACCCUUUUCCUGCGUCGUUGGGCCGACCUGGGUCAGAAUCGGCCCAAGACUGUUACAAGUUUCUCUUUUUCUUUUUAUUCCUGAACUAAAACAAUUAUAGAAAAUGAUAGAAAAAUCCUAAAAUUGUGAAACUAAUUUUCCUAGACUCCUUAUUUUCCCUAGUAUUUAAUAAAAAUAGUUUCAUGAUUUUUAGUUUAAACAGGGAAUUUUAGGGCAUUUAAAAUAGCUUAAAGAAAUAGUUCUGGAAUUUUAGAGAAUUAAUAGUAAUGCCAAAAAUGUUCAAAAUUUUUGUAUGAACUCCCCAUAUUAUUUAGAAGCCUUGGGUAGAAUUUGAAUUGAUUUGGACCUUGUUUGAUAACUAGAACCCAAAACCCUACCCCUGCCCUUUGAACUCCUUUACUGACUCCGGAAACCCUAAGUUCUCGGAGUCCCGUGAAGGAAAGUUGUAUUCAAAACUUAGUUAAUAAACCUUUAUUAUCUAUGCACUCUCAUAAGCAUUACAUGGCAUUCAUUCUUAUAUAUAUACCUAUAUGGUUAUAUUUAGAAAACGAAGAAGAGAGUGAAGUGACUGAAGAGAAGACACCACCACCUUUGGAAUCUCAGGCAGGGACUUGGCUCUACUUCGACAUCUGCGGGUCCGAGCCUGACUCACCUACUAACGAAGGCAAGCCCCGGUGCAUGCAACCCCUUUACUUGUGAAAUGUGCAUUAGGUUCAUAGGAGUUGCUUGGAACCCUUUGAUGCAUUGCUUCCUUGAUAUCCAUACCGUUAUAGAUACUUCUGAUGAAGUAUCAAAAAUAUGAUUUACAAAAAUGCUUAGCCCUGCUUAGAUCUUGUGGAUAGAAGUUGUCUUUUGCAAUACUGCCUAGCUCAGGGGUUAUCCUGAGGAAAGAUGACUUCUACCUGCAAGAAUAUUUUCAUUAAGAGCGUGGUGGGAUCUUACUGCAAAGCUCCCUAUGAUGCUCUUUUCAUCCUAAGGAAUAGAAACAAUCCUAAGGAUGGAAGUACUUAAAUCGAGACUUGGGUUAGGAACAGGUGAUGUUCUACCCAGGUUGAUUAAGGAUUGGAUGCGUAUGUAGGCCUGCUAGCGCAAGGACUAUCUUAGCUAGCCGCAUACCCUGGAAAUGGGACAGGGUAAGCUUUGCCUCGGGCAGACUAAGGCCAGAAUAAGAUAACACGAAAUGGGCGUGGAGCGGUGGCGGGAGUAGCGUGUACCCUCCGUGGCAAGAGGCUGGACGGUGGUGUAUCUGUGCUCUCGGUUUGCGUGAACCUAAUCUGGUCUUAAGAACCCUGGGGUCGAGUUGACAUAUGCAAGGAUUAAGUGCUACAUAUGUCGUGUGGUUAGAGAUCCUCAGCUGAGUAAAUCGAUUCGGAUCGCCGUUAUAUCCCCGGAGAGUGGAGACUUGAUCACUGACCUACAACCUAAGUCAGGAUGUGAACUUCAUGAAUGAAAAUGAUGUUGUAUUGAUGAGAUGAUGAAAUUAGACUAGAGGCAAACAGAGUCUAUUGAUAUUUAAUUUGGCGUUAAAAUAUUGAAAGUAAGGAGUCACUCUAAUAAGCUAUUUCUGCAAAAGUAUCUAAGUUGAUUCUUGCUAAAGCCUCUCCUUGAUCCCUAUUUAUCCAGCAUCCCCUUGAGAGUCUUUUCCUUAGUCGGGUAAGACUUGCUGAGUAAUUCCAUACUCAGGGUUUAUCCCUUCGUUGUUUUUAGGUGAGGAAGCGACAAAGUUUUGUUGCUUUUGCUCCAAGGUGGUAUCAAAUGAAGAAGUAGAAGAAUGAAGAUGCGGGAGGACGUGGUCCUCCAUAUAGGACUUUUUGUUUGAUAGUUAUCGGGAGGAGUUUUUACCUCCCUUGGAAUGUGUAAUAAUACUACUCAGCACUCGUUUAUAGCUCUAGUCUGUAAUAAGUAACUUGAUCUUACUUUCUAAAUAAAUGUAAGUUUAUGUAAAAGCUUCCGCAUUUCUUUAUCUCCGAUGUUCUAUAAUGUCUGCAAGACGGGUGAGACGUUCCUGGAAAGGUAAGGAAAGAUACCGAACUUGUCAAGUAGUUCAGGGGCACCUACAGGGUUGUCUGAGGUCCGUUGGACAAGGACAACUGUAGGUGGGCCUAAUUACUUGGGAGGUUCCGUCACAAUUUAGGGUCUAGGUUUCCAUAAAAUCGUGUGCUAUAGCUCACGGGUGGCAAAAAAAUGCCAUAACGGCCUCCCCGGUCUAAAACGAAGGUGGCAGGUCGGAUACAUAAAAUUGGCUGUUUGGCCACGGAAAUGUGUGAUAUAGCUCGCGGGAGGCCAAGAACCGCUUUAAGGUGCUCCGGGGAGAAAAACACGUGUGGAGGAACACGGGCAUAAAAAUGGUCGCUCGGCCAUGAAAACGUGUGCUAUAGCUCACGGGAGGCCAAAACAACCUUACCAGUCUCUAUGGUCAAAUAAUGGGUGGCGGUCGGGAGGCACGAAAUCGCUGUUCGACGACAAAAACAUGUGUCACGGGAGGCCAAAAUAGCCUUACGGGCCGCCGGGGACUAAAACGUGUACUAUGGUUCGGACACUAAAAUUCUACCAUGCCUGCAAGCUUACUAUGGUUUGGAGACUCAAACUUCAUUUUACUAUGGUUUGGACACUAAAACCUUUUAGUGUCGGUGUUUAAGGUUAGGGUUUAGGGAUUGGAUCUUGGGUCUAGGUUACCAUAAAAACAUGUGCUAUAGCUCACUUGUGGCAAAAAAAUGUCGUAACGGCCUCUCCGAUCUAAAAUGUAGGUGGCAGAUCGGAUGAGGCCAUAAUCAGCCUUAGCAGUCUCAGUGGCCAAAUCAUGGGUGGCGGACGGGAGGCAUGAAAUCGUCGUUUGACGAUGAAAACAUGUGUCACUGCACGGGAGGCCAAAAAUAGCCUUACCGGCCUCCGGGGACCAAAACGUGUACUAUGGUUUGGACACUAAAAUUCUACUAUGUCAGCAAAGUUGAUAAGGUUGGGAGACUCAAUUUCAUUUUACCAUGGUUUCAACACUAAAAUCCUUUAGUGUUGAUGUUUAGGUUUAGGGAUAGGAUUUAGGGUCUAGGUUUCCAUAAAAUCGUGUGCUAUAGCUCAUGGGUGGCAAAAAAAUGCCAUAACGGCCUCCCCGGUCUAAAACGAAGGUGGCAGGUCGGAUACAUAAAAUUGGCUGUUUGGCCACGGAAAUGUGUGAUAUAGCUCGCGGGAGGCCAAGAACCGCUUUAAGGUGCUCCGGGGAGAAAAACACGUGUGGAGGAACACGAGCAUAAAAAUGGUCGCUCGGCCAUGAAAACGUGUGCUAUAGCUCACGGGAGGCCAAAACAACCUUACCAGUCUCUAUGGUCAAAUAAUGGGUGGCGGUCGGGAGGCACGAAAUCGCUGUUCGACGACAAAGACAUGUGUCACGGGAGGCCAAAAUAGCCUUACGGGCCGCCGGGGACUAAAACGUGUACUAUGGUUCGGACACUAAAAUUCUACCAUGCCUGCAAGCUUACUAUGGUUUGGAGACUCAAACUUCAUUUUACUAUGGUUUGGACACUAAAACCUUUUAGUGUCGGUGUUUAAGGUUAGGGUUUAGGGAUUGGAUCUUGGGUCUAGGUUACCAUAAAAACAUGUGCUAUAGCUCACUUGUGGCAAAAAAUGUCGUAACGACCUCUCCGAUCUAAAAUGUAGGUGGCAGGUCGGAUGAGGCCAUAAUCAGCCUUAGCAGUCUCAGUGGCCAAAUCAUGGGUGGCGGACGGGAGGCAUGAAAUCGUCGUUUGACGAUGAAAACAUGUGUCACGGGAGGCCAAAAAUAGCCUUACCGGCCUCCGGGGACCAAAACGUGUACUAUGGUUUGGACACUAAAAUUCUACUAUGUCAGCAAAGUUGAUAAGGUUGGGAGACUCAAAUUUCAUUUUACCAUGGUUUCAACACUAAAAUCCUUUAGUGUCGAUGUUUAGGUUUAGGGAUAGGAUUUAGGGUCUAGGUUUCCAUAAAAUCGUGUGCUAUAGCUCACGGGUGGCAAAAAAAUGCCAUAACGGCCUCCCCGGUCUAAAACGAAGGUGGCAGGUCGGAUACAUAAAAUUGGCUGUUUGGCCACGGAAAUGUGUGAUAUAGCUCGCGGGAGGCCAAGAACCGCUUUAAGGUGCUCCGGGGAGAAAAACACGUGUGGAGGAACACGGGCAUAAAAAUGGUCGCUCGGCCAUGAAAACGUGUGCUAUAGCUCACGGGAGGCCAAAACAACCUUACCAGUCUCUAUGGUCAAAUAAUGGGUGGCGGUCGGGAGGCACGAAAUCGCUGUUCGACGACAAAAACAUGUGUCACGGGAGGCCAAAAUAGCCUUACGGGCCGCCGGGGACUAAAACGUGUACUAUGGUUCGGACACUAAAAUUCUACCAUGCCUGCAAGCUUACUAUGGUUUGGAGACUCAAACUUCAUUUUACUAUGGUUUGGACACUAAAACCUUUUAGUGUCGGUGUUUAAGGUUAGGGUUUAGGGAUUGGAUCUUGGGUCUAGGUUACCAUAAAAACAUGUGCUAUAGCUCACUUGUGGCAAAAAAUGUCGUAACGGCCUCUCCGAUCUAAAAUGUAGGUGGCAGGUCGGAUGAGGCCAUAAUCAGCCUUAGCAGUCUCAGUGACCAAAUCAUGGGUGGUGGACGGGAGGCAUGAAAUCGUCGUUUGACGAUGAAAACAUGUGUCACGGGAGGCCAAAAAUAGCCUUACCGGCCUCCGGGGACCAAAACGUGUGCUAUGGUUUGGACACUAAAAUUCUACUAUGUCAGCAAAGUUGAUAAGGUUGGGAGACUCAAAUUUCAUUUUACCAUGGUUUCAACACUAAAAUCCUUUAGUGUUGAUGUUUAGGUUUAGGGAUAGGAUUUAGGGUCUAGGUUUCCAUAAAAUCGUGUGCUAUAGCUCACGGGUGGCAAAAAAAUGCCAUAACGGCCUCCCCGGUCCAAAACGAAGGUGGCAGGUCGGAUACAUAAAAUUGGCUGUUUGGCCACGGAAAUGUGUGAUAUAGCUCGCGGGAGGCCAAGAACCGCUUUAAGGUGCUCCGGGGAGAAAAACACGUGUGGAGGAACACGGGCAUAAAAAUGGUCGCUCGGCCAUGAAAACGUGUGCUAUAGCUCACGGGAGGCCAAAACAACCUUACCAGUCUCUAUGGUCAAAUAAUGGGUGGCAGUCGGGAGGCACGAAAUCGCUGUUCGACGACAAAGACAUGUGUCACGGGAGGCCAAAAUAGCCUUACGGGCCGCCGGGGACUAAAACGUGUACUAUGGUUCGGACACUAAAAUUCUACCAUGCCUGCAAGCUUACUAUGGUUUGGAGACUCAAACUUCAUUUAACUAUGGUUUGGACACUAAAACCUUUUAGUGUCGGUGUUUAAGGUUAGGGUUUAGGGAUUGGAUCUUGGGUCUAGGUUACCAUAAAAACAUGUGCUAUAGCUCACUUGUGGCAAAAAAUGUCGUAACGGCCUCUCCGAUCUAAAAUGUAGGUGGCAGGUCGGAUGAGGCCAUAAUCAGCCUUAGCAGUCUCAGUGGCCAAAUCAUGGGUGGCGGACGGGAGGCAAGAAAUCGUCGUUUGACGAUGAAAACAUGUGUCACGGGAGGCCAAAAAUAGCCUUACCGGCCUCUGGGGACCAAAACGUGUACUAUGGUUUGGACACUAAAAUUCUACUAUGUCAGCAAAGUUGAUAAGGUUGGGAGACUCAAAUUUCAUUUUACCAUGGUUUCAACACUAAAAUCCUUUAGUGUUGAUGUUUAGGUUUAGGGAUAGGAUUUAGGGUCUAGGUUUCCAUAAAAUCGUGUGCUAUAGCUCACGGGUGGCAAAAAAAUGCCAUAACGGCCUCCCCGGUCUAAAACGAAGGUGGCAGGUCGGAUACAUAAAAUUGGCUGUUUGGCCACGGAAAUGUGUGAUAUAGCUCGCGGGAGACCAAGAACCGCUUUAAGGUGCUCCGGGGAGAAAAACACGUGUGGAGGAACACGGGCAUAAAAAUGGUCGCUCGGCCAUGAAAACGUGUGCUAUAGCUCACGGGAGGCCAAAACAACCUUACCAGUCUCUAUGGUCAAAUAAUGGGUGGCGGUCGGGAGGCACGAAAUCGCUGUUCGAUGACAAAAACAUGUGUCACGGGAGGCCAAAAUAGCCUUACGGGCCGCCGGGAACUAAAACGUGUACUAUGGUUCGGACACUAAAAUUCUACCAUGCCUGCAAGCUUACUAUGGUUUGGAGACUCAAACUUCAUUUUACUAUGGUUUGGACACUAAAACCUUUUAGUGUCGGUGUUUAAGGUUAGGGUUUAGGGAUUGGAUCUUGGGUCUAGGUUACAAUAAAAACAUGUGCUAUAGCUCACUUGUGGCAAAAAAUGUCGUAACGGCCUCUCCGAUCUAAAAUGUAGGUGGCAGGUCGGAUGAGGCCAUAAUCAGCCUUAGCAGUCUCAGUGGCCAAAUCAUGGGUGGUGGACGGGAGGCAUGAAAUCGUCGUUUGACGAUGAAAACAUGUGUCACGGGAGGCCAAAAAUAGCCUUACCGGCCUCCGGGGACCAAAACGUGUGCUAUGGUUUGGACACUAAAAUUCUACUAUGUCAGCAAAGUUGAUAAGGUUGGGAGACUCAAAUUUCAUUUUACCAUGGUUUCAACACUAAAAUCCUUUAGUGUCGAUGUUUAGGUUUAGGGAUAGGAUUUAGGGUCUAGGUUUCCAUAAAAUCGUGUGCUAUAGCUCACGGGUGGCAAAAAAAUGCCAUAACGGCCUCCCCGGUCUAAAACGAAGGAGGCAGGUCGGAUACAUAAAAUUGGCUGUUUGGCCACGGAAAUGUUUGAUCUAGCUCGCGGGAGGCCAAGAACCGCUUUAAGGUGCUCCGAGGACAAAAACACGUGUGGAGGAACGCGGACAUAAAAAUGGUCGCUCGGCCAUGAAAACGUGUGCUAUAGCUCACGGGAGGCCAAAACAGCCUUACCAGUCUCUAUGGUCAAAUCAUGGGUGGCGGUCGGGAGGCACGAAAUCGCUGUUCGACGACAAAAACUUGUGUCACGGGAGGCCAAAAUAGCCUUACGAGCUGUCGGGGACUAAAACGUGUACUAUGGUUUGGACACUAAAAUUCUACCAUUCCUGCAUGCUUACUAUGGUUUGGAGACUCAAACUUCAUUUUACUAUGGUUUGGACACUAAAACCUUUUAGUGUCGGUGUUUAAGGUUAGGGUUUAGGGAUUGGAUUUGGGGUCUAGGUUACCAUAAAAACAUGUGCUAUAGCUCACUUGUGGCAAAAAAUGUCGUAACGGCCUCUCCGGUCUAAAACGUAGGUGGUAGGUCGGAUACAUGAAAUUGGCUCUUUGGCCACGAAAACGUGUGCUACAGCUCGUGGGAGGCCAAGGACCACUUUAAGGUGCUCUGGGAACCAAAAAACGGGUGGUGGAACACGUACUUAAAAAUGGUCGCUCGACCAUGAAAACGUGUGCCAUAACCUACGAGAGGCCAUAAACAGCCUUAGCAGUCUCAGUGGCCAAAUCAUGGGUGGCGGACGGGAGGCAUGAAAUCGUCGUUUGACGAUGAAAACAUGUGUCACGGGAGGCCAAAAAUAGCCUUACCGGCCUCCGGGGACCAAAACGUGUACUAUGGUUUGGACACUAAAAUCGUACUAUGUCAGCAAAGUUGAUAAGGUUGGGAGACUCAAAUUUCAUUUUACCAUGGUUUCAACACUAAAAUCCUUUAGUGUCGAUGUUUAGGUUUAGGGAUAGGAUUUAGGGUCUAGGUUUCCAUAAAAUCGUGUGCUAUAGCUCACGGGUGGCAAAAAAAUGCCAUAACGGCCCCGGUCUAAAACGAAGGUGGCAGGUCGGAUACAUAAAAUUGGCUGUUUGGCCACGGAAAUGUGUGAUAUAGCUCGCGGGAGGCCAAGAACCGCUUUAAGGUGCUCCGGGGAGAAAAACACGUGUGGAGGAACACGGGCAUAAAAAUGGUCGCUCGGCCAUGAAAACGUGUGCUAUAGCUCACGGGAGGCCAAAACAACCUUACCAGUCUCUAUGGUCAAAUAAUGGGUGGCGGUCGGGAGGCACGAAAUCGCUGUUCGACGACAAAAACAUGUGUCACGGGAGGCCAAAAUAGCCUUACGGGCCGCCGGGGACUAAAACGUGUACUAUGGUUCGGACACUAAAAUUCUACCAUGCCUGCAAGCUUACUAUGGUUUGGAGACUCAAACUUCAUUUUACUAUGGUUUGGACACUAAAACCUUUUAGUGUCGGUGUUUAAGGUUAGGGUUUAGGGAUUGGAUCUUGGGUCUAGGUUACCAUAAAAACAUGUGCUAUAGCUCACUUGUGGCAAAAAAUGUCGUAACGGCCUCUCCGAUCUAAAACGUAGGUGGCAGGUCGGAUACAUGAAAUUGGCUCUUUGGCCACGGAAACGUGUGCUACAGCUCGUGGGAGGCCAAGGACCACUUUAAGGUGCUCUGGGGACCAAAAAGCGGGUGGUGGAACACGUACUUAAAAUGGUCGCUCGACCAUGAAAACGUGUGCCAUAGCCUACGGGAGGCCAUAAACAGCCUUAGCAGUCUCAGUGGCCAAAUCAUGGGUGGCGGACGGGAGGUGUUGGGUCUAUGCUUCGUCGCCGAAGGUCUUAUAGAAAGAAGUGAUCCUCGGAUGAAGC
rnacentral:lncRNA from 1 species